ACGGGUUAAACAAACUUCCACAUUUUAAUGUAUAUAAUGUUUGUAUCAUUGGUAUUUUAUGAGGCUCGUUCAUAAAUUUCCUACAUCUAGUGGCAUUUGGCAACGGACAUAUAGGUUUUCCAGAGUUUUUCAUUGGUUUUGGUCCCACUUUCAGCAACCAAAUGGGCCAGGGAUCAUGAUGUCCUACCCUAUAAAUGCUAUAUAUCAAAUUUGGUAAAACUUGAUUAGAUGAAUACUUGAAGAAGGGUCGCUCUUGAGGCCCCUUGCAGGAAUUCUACAUUACAUGUACCAACACCAGUGCAGACUGUACUACUACUGGGCCAUGUGGACUUGCUUGUGGAGAAGACACAGGCCUGC